GUCACUGAAAAUAAAAUUUGUGGCAACUUAACUUGUUACAGAAACAAAUCAUUCUUGUCACAAUGCAAUAAUGUAAAUUGAUUUUGGGACAAUAAUGACUCUGUUUAGUGAUAAAGUUUCUUGUCACUGAAAUAGCUUAAAGUGACAAGAACUUUUGUUGUCAUGAAAAAUCUCAUAUGUGACAACUUGUUAUUGUCACUAAAAUUUAGUGUACCAU
rnacentral:lncRNA from 1 species